UGGGGGAUAUUGCACAAUGGGCGAAAGCCUGAUGCAGCGACGCCGCGUGGGGGAUGAAGGCCUUCGGGUUGUAAACUUCUUUUGCUCUGAACAAGGCGCACCAUGGGGUGUGUUGAGUGUAGGGGUUGAUUAGCGCCGGCUAACUACGUGCCAGCAGCCGCGGUAAUACGUAGGGCGCGAGCGUUGUCCGGAAUUAUUGGGCGUAAAGGGCUGGUAGGUGGCUGGUUGCGUCUGUCGUGAAAGCUCAUGGCUUAACUGUGGGUUUGCGGUGGGCACGGGCUGGCUUGAGUGCAGUAGGGGAGGCUGGAAUUCCUGGUGUAGCGGUGGAAUGCGCAGAUAUCAGGAGGAGUACCGGUGGCGAAGGCGGGUCUCUGGGCUGUUACUGACACUGAGGAGCGAAAGCAUGGGGAGCGAACAGG
rnacentral:rRNA from 1 species